GGUUGUAUAGUGUAGUGGCUAUCACAUCGGAUUCUGAUACCCUCAGAAAACAUUCCGGUAACCCCGGUUCGAUCCCGGGUACGACCU